rnacentral:rRNA from 1 species
UACGUAGGGUGCGAGCGUUGUCCGGAAUUAUUGGGCGUAAAGAGCUCGUAGGCGGUCUGUCACGCCGGAUGUGAAAACUCGGGGCUCAACCCCGAGCCUGCAUUCGAUACGGGCAGACUAGAGUUCGGUAGGGGAGACUGGAAUUCCUGGUGUAGCGGUGAAAUGCGCAGAUAUCAGGAGGAACACCGAUGGCGAAGGCAGAAUCUCUGGGCCGUAACUGACGCUGAGGAGCGAAAGCAUGGGGAGCGAACAGG